AACGAACGCUGGCGGCAUGCCUAACACAUGCAAGUCGAACGAGACCUUCGGGUCUAGUGGCGCACGGGUGCGUAACGCGUGGGAACCUGCCUUUAGGUUCGGAAUAACUCAGAGAAAUUUGAGCUAAUACCGGAUGAUGUCUUCGGACCAAAGAUUUAUCGCCUUUAGAUGGGCCCGCGUUGGAUUAGCUGGUUGGGGGGGUAAAGGCCUACCAAGGCGACGAUCCAUAGCUGGUCUGAGAGGAUGAUCAGCCACACUGGGACUGAGACACGGCCCAGACUCCUACGGGAGGCAGCAGUGGGGAAUAUUGGACAAUGGGCGAAAGCCUGAUCCAGCAAUGCCGCGUGAGUGAUGAAGGCCUUAGUGUUGUAAAGCUCUUUUACCCGAGAUGAUAAUGACAGUAGCGGGAGAAUAAGCUCCGGCUAACUCCGUG
rnacentral:rRNA from 1 species